UGCUCUCUCUCUCUGUGUGGGCAAUGACAACAUUUUGCAUUCAUCCUGAUCGGUCCGAAUGCUGAUUGAUCCUGAUUGGUGGAUUUUGGGGGGUUGGCCAAGUCUGUAAAAUAUACACAAUACCACUAGUAUUUAACGAUGCUAAUGCCAACCCACCAUCGGCACGUGAUAUAAACAAGGUUGGAAAAUUCCCAGCCUUCAACCUUCGCCUGCACAGUUUGAUAUAAGACAGCAGUCUCUGUCAGGAAUAGCAAGACUCCAUCUUCUGCCAGGGAGAGUGAAAAAAGGGCAGUGUGCGUCGAUACUUAUCUCUAUCGGGAAGAAUAACGUGGAAUCAAGCAACUUAACGUGCUCGCGCUCCAAGAUCUCCCACCACGUUUCCACACUCCAUCCGGACAGCUAUCGCCAUCAUCCACUGCUCGCCCACCCAUCACUCCCCAGUGCGAGUUUUUGAAGCGCCACUUGCGCUGCUCUAGAUCGCAACGUACAUACGGAGCCUCUUUUUCGUUCCUUGGACGUGCGCAAGGUACGUGUGUCUUUUGUUACUGCACAACUUCGGCCAAAGAAACAGGCUUUCCUGUGCAAUCAACAUAAAACCCAUUUCGACGAGUCUCCGUUCAUCAUGUCCCUUCCGCCACCUCCAGGUCUCCAACAGCAACCGUCUCAACCCCUGUCCUCGAAACCACCUCCGUCCACGUCUCUCCCCGCACGACCGCCCCCUACUGCUUCUUACCAGCCAACCGGUGCGCCGGGGGUAGCCAAUACUGCUUCGACUACUUCUGCUCCUAGACCCGGCGCCGGAUACAAUUCGCUCACAGCUUUUCAACCCCGUACCGUAACUACCGGCCAAUCUUUCCGCACUCACAGCCCUAAUGUCUCUGCGUCUCCAGCUGGCUACCAGCACCAUCACCAACCCCAUGUCCAGCAAUACUCGCGACCGCCCUAUGGGCAACCCAACAUAACCUACUACGGACAGCAACAGCAGCACUAUCAAAAUCAACACCAACCUUCACAGCAACACCAAGCGGUAGGCGCUUACGGUCAGCCGGGUGUCCCCCUCAUUCAAAAUCCCUUCCCUUAUCCAUCCCAGCCACCAAACAAUGCUUACAGCGGAGCUGGAAGAGGGUAUCACCGCCAAACCGCGGGCUCAGGCCUCGACCCGGACACCGAAGCGCAAAUAGCUCAAUGGCAGAGCGCGUACAUGGGUAAGGAGAGCAUCGAAGCCGCACAAGCCGCAGCAAAUACCGCCAGCGGCAAAGGCGCAUCGGGCGCCACUGGCGCCAACGCGGGGCCACUGGGAACCGUCCAACGCACACACGACGCUGCAGCGUCAGCGGCGCCAUCCAGCGGUCCGCAGACGACUUCAUCCACGCCUAUACCGCCAGGUGCAACCGCAGCGAUAGGCACAGCUGCAGGCGCAACCGCAGGUGCAGCCGAACCGGCCAAAACUGUCGUCCGCUCCGGCGGCGGCCAGAGCUGGACAGACUCCACGCUUCUCGAAUGGGACCCCGCACACUUCCGCCUCUUCGCGGGCAACCUCGCCGGCGAAGUGACGGACGACUCUCUCCUGAAGGCGUUCUCGAAGUACCCCUCCGUGCAGAAGGCGCGGGUGAUUCGCGAUAAGCGCACGGAGAAGAGUAAAGGGUAUGGUUUUGUGAGUUUUAGCGAUGGGGAGGAUUAUUUCCGGGCUGCGAGGGAGAUGCAAGGGAAGUAUAUUGGAUCGCAUCCCGUUUUGCUGAGGAGAGCUAUGACAGA
rnacentral:sRNA from 2 species